rnacentral:rRNA from 1 species
AGAGUUUGAUCCUGGCUCAGGGUGAACGCUAGCGGUGCGCCUAACACAUGCAAGUCGAGCGAGAAUGGAGUAGCUUGCUACAAAAGGAAAGCGGCGAACGGGUGAGUAAAAUGUUGCUACCUGCCCUCAAGUCGGGGAUAGCCCAUUGAAAGAUGGAUUAAUACCGGAUAGUCUCUGAGGAGUAAAAAUUUAUUGCUUGAGGAGGGGGCUUCAAUCUAUCAGCUAGUUGGCGAGGUAACUGCUCACCAAGGCAAUGACGGAUAACUGAUCUGAGAGGAUGAUCAGUCACAAUGGAACUGAGACACGGUCCAUACUCCUACGGGAGGCAGCAGUGAGGAAUCUUCCACAAUGGGCGAAAGCCUGAAGCAGCAACGCCGCGUGCACGAUGAAGGCCUUCGGGUCGUAAAGUGCUUUUCUGCGAGAUGAGAAAGGACAGUAUCGUAGGAAUAAGUCUCGGCUAACUACGUGCCAGCAGCCGCGGUAAAACGUAGGAGGCGAGCGUUAUCCGGAAUCACUGGGCGUAAAGCGCGUGCAGGUGGCUUGGUAAGUUGGGCGUGAAAUCUCCCGGCUCAACUGGGAGAGGUCGUUCAAUACUACCAAGCUAGAGAGCAGAAGAGGAAGAUGGAAUUCCCGGUGUAGUGGUGAAAUGCGUAGAUAUCGGGAGGAACACCAGUGGCGAAGGCGAUCUUCUGGUCUGUUUCUGACACUCAGACGCGACAGCUAGGGUAGUAAACGGGAUUAGAGACCCCGGUAAUCCUAGCCGUAAACGAUGUGAACUUGGCGUUGGUGGGUUAAACUCCAUCAGUGCCGAAGCAAACGCGAUAAGUUCACCGCCUGGGGACUACGGCCGCAAGGUUAAAACUCAAAGGAAUUGACGG